GUCAUAUAACAUUGAGAGUAUAUUUAAUGCCCCUGCAUUGGAAACUUAUGAAUGGUUAAAAUAAUAAACCUUAUGUUAUGAAUAUUUUGCCACACACAGGAAAGCAGGGAGCCCUGGGGCCUCUUUGAUUUCUCUGGACCCAGAGUCUCAAGCAGGCCCUGGCACACACUAGGUGCUCAAGAGCGUGUGUCGAUUUGCAUAAGCGUCCGUGGGAAGAGACCACAAGCCUUCAGCUGGGAGAGAAUGCACAGAAUCAGAAUCUGCCUGGAGUCAGUUCCAGCUUCCUUCCAGCUUCCCUCGGGACAAAAGCUCCACCGUGUGCGGAACCCCCAAGGGACAGAAACUGCAACAGCAUAGGUCCUCAGAGAGCGGGCAGCAAGGCUCUCGCUGUGCAUGGGGGAUGCCCAGGUGGAGAGGAGACGGCUCCUUCCCACAAGGCACGGAGGGGCGGAGCCAAUGGGAGGCCCAGUCACUGAUUCAGUGCUGACUGCACCUGACCAUGGCUGACAGAUGCUUCUGGGGACUGUGGUGAAAACCGAAAAUGGGGACGAGGAAGGAAGCAGGGAGCCCUCUGAUGAAGACUAGGUGUCAAUCCAGAGUCCUGGAACCUUUCAAGUCACUGGACUUUUACUUUCUGAUGAACUUCACCCAACGGAUGACCAACCAAUGUGACUGCCACCACCUAGGCUACAAAGUUCAUUGUUGCUUAGAACAACAACAACAACAAAAAGCAAGGGCUAUUAUUAGCAGUGAUCAGAGGGCGGUCACACUUCCCAGUCACAAGUCUUCUGGAGGAAGGAGCUCGGAUGGUGUUGGUGGUGCAACGUGUUUGGUGCGAAGGCCUAUUUCGCAAUCGCUGUGCCUGUCAGGUGAUGCAGAGGCCCCUGCUCCCAGAUAUCUUUCCACAGUGGGACCAGCUGCUCUGACGUCGCCGGGGAGGGACAGCUGGCGGCCUCUCUUGUGCAAGACUUAUUCAUGCGGCAUGGAAGAUACUAGCAGCAGCAGGCCUGAUCUGAAUCUGGCUGGCUGGGUGGCCUGGCCCCUGAGGGUGCUGUUCCCUCUGCUGACAGCACCCCUCCUUCUCGGGGCCAGCUCUCCAGGGGGUUUUCCCUGACCUCUCCAGCCCUGCACUCCCUUUACUCCCCAGACACGCAGGCCCUGCAUUGAGUCUCUCCUAAUCUGCUUGAUUGACUCUCUGCUGUUGGAAUAGAUGCUCUGUGAGGGCAGGCCCUGACCUGGGUUUCCACUGGAAUCCUACUUCCCAGAAUGGUGCCUGGUGCCUAGUGGGCACUCUAUGGACAUUUGUCCAAUGAAUUCAAUAAUAAGUGAC